rnacentral:rRNA from 1 species
UACGAAGGGGGCUAGCGUUGCUCGGAAUCACUGGGCGUAAAGCGCACGUAGGCGGAUUGUUAAGUCAGGGGUGAAAUCCUGGAGCUCAACUCCAGAACUGCCUUUGAUACUGGCGAUCUUGAGUCCGGGAGAGGUGAGUGGAACUGCGAGUGUAGAGGUGAAAUUCGUAGAUAUUCGGAGAACACCAGUGGCGAAGGCGGCUCACUGGUCCAUUACUGACGCUGAGGUGCGAAA